rnacentral:misc_RNA from 1 species
ACAGCCUUGUCAGAGGGCCUUCAUCUCACUUGUACAGUAGCUAUAGGUGCUUUCUUUGCAUGCAUUUAUAUGCAGCAGAUAUCACCCUCUUCUUCCACCCAACUCCCAACUCCAACUCUUUCAACACACACACACUGACACACUCUCUUCCCCGCGUGAACCAUGAAGCAACAUCUUUCCCACACUGUUCUUCUCCUCGUCCUUCUUUUCCUUUUUUAUUCUUCAAAAUUGUCAGCACAUCCCAUGAUAAGUAAACAAGAGCAAGAGCAGGUAAACUUCAAUGCAAUGACCAGCCAGGACUCUAUUGUGGAAGUGGACAGCAGUAGUGAAUUGCUAAUGGGUUCUGAGGUCUGUGAAACUGGUGAUGAAGAAUGUUUCAAGAGAAGAUUAAUCUCAGAGGCUCACUUGGACUACAUCUACACCCAGCACCACAAGCCUUGACUUACAAAUUCAGAGAGAUUUGAAGUUUCAUGUUUUCUAUUUAAUUUCCAGCUCAGGCCUAGAUUCUAUAGAAUCCAGGUUAAAUUUAUCAGUUUCUUCUCUAAAUGACAGCAUCAUGUUUGAAAGCCACUAGAUUUGGUUUUCAAGGUUCCUUAUUUUGUCUUCAUAAUGUAAUUAUUUUUCUUUUUGUUUCAUUUGACUCUGAUGCAACUCGAACUCAAGAACUCCCAGUUAGGAUAACUUUAGUACUACUGAAAAUCAUUGGCUUUUGUUAUGUCUCUAUGAACUGUGAUUUCUGGUGCUAAGGGAAUAUAUGGAACCUUAUAUUUCACAAUACAGAAAGAGAGAGAGGAAAGUGAGGAAGG